ensembl:lncRNA
GGGCGGAGCCCGCGUUGGUGGCGAAGUCUCCGAGUUGCGGUGUCGCUGCCGCUUCCCCGACGGUCUGGGCGGAGCAGGAGCCGAGAAGAGGGCCCGUUUCUGGCCUCCCCUCGGUGGGAGGCACCCGGGAGUCUCUGGACAGAGGCGAGAGCCGGUCCGGGCUCGGGCAGCGCGUGGGCCGCAACGCAGAAGGCUCGGCGUCGAGACCGAGUCGCCUGGGCGCCCGGUACCUCGGGGCGAGGAGCAAGUAGGCGGCGGCGGACGAGGAAGCGAGGCGCAGAGAGAUUAAGUAAAAUCCGUCAGGUGACUUGUACCGACAGAGCCAGCAGGGGCAGCAGGCGGACUGUGGUCUUCUCUUCAGCACCUUCCAGAUCUGCCUUCCAUUGCAGGCAGGGGACAGGAGUGGGUCAGUCCUAGUCAUGACGCCCAGGAUUGCAGUCUUCUGUGCUUGCUUGGGAAGCAGCUCAGGAGGAGGAUUAGAAGGUAUGUCCAAGCAGAACCAUGGGUACUGCAAGACCUUCUCUAGUGCUGGUCUCUUUGUGGGGUUGUGGGUGAGAAGCUUUCAAAUGAGGUUUUGUAGGUGAGAAGGGAGGCAGGGAGGGAGGACAGGAGUAUCUGCCUGCUUGGCUCUGCUGCACCAGAAGCCUGCCCUUCCAUGGAAAGGGUUAUGACCCACAACUAACCUGAAUAGUAUAAUGCCGAGACCAUUCCUCGGGUAGCUACCUUGCUGUCCAGCCACAAAAGGUCAUACUCUGCGCAGGAACAAACUUCUUCCUCAACCCAGAGUCAGUGAUCUUGAUAUUUCCUUGAGAGUCCAAUAAGAUGUCAGGUUUGAUUGAGCUCUUUGUGGACAAAACCCUGGCCAUGACAGUGCUACAUAGCUUCUUUAAGAGCUCUACCUCAGCAGUGAUGAAGGCAGGUUCUGGUUUCUUUUUUUGUAGCUCCUUAAUGGCCACCAAUGUCCCAGUGGCAAGAUGUUCUGCCAGCAGGACCUUGGUAGACACCUUGGCCAAUGAUGUCCAACACUUGAUAGUUCUGAGGCUCUUUCCACAGGAUCUGGCUGUGGGGCCCAGGCCUGACACAUUGUUGGGCUUAACACCCAAACUCUCUAUUUCGUAGCUGACUGACACAUGUGACAAAGGAAGCUGUUUCUCUUCCUGCAAGCCUGGAAAAAGAGACAUCAGGGAAGGGGUCAGGAUCUCAUAUCCCAUUCAAGGGCACCUACAUAGCCCAACUGCCUGUCAUUAGGCAGCACCUCCUAAAGGGUUCAAGCCCUUCCCUUAGUGCCAGGGCUUGUCAACCAAGCCUUCAACACAUGGGCCUCUACAGGACAUUUAAGAUCCAGACCAUAAAACCAUCUUCCCAAGGGAAGGAUUAGGAGCUAAUGACUGUCAGAUAUCGUUUUCAGCCUGAGCACCUGCCUGUCCUGCACUUGGCCCUGGCAGAUCAUAUGAAAAUAGGGAGAUAGAACUUUUGCAAAAUGGAAGUGGGCCAAGAAAUUGACGGGGGAAAUGGAAAGGGGAAUAAAAAAAGGUGUGUUAUGUAUGUGUAACAACUCCCCAUGAUGAAUGUAAUCAUUAUGUACUACAAACAUGUACUAAUAAAUGUAAACAAAAAAAUGGAUAUUGUAUAGAUAACUGUGUCAACUUGAGUAAGACAUGCUCAGCAAUAUUGGAUCAGAAUUCUGGGUGUGGCUGAGGGGAUUUACUGAAGACAGACGACAGCUCCUGGGCAGGAUUGUGACCCAAAUGGUAUAAAAGGGAAACAAGGAAGGAAGCCUUGCUUCUGUUAAUUCAGAGGAUCUCCAGUCUUCACCUUCACCUUGGACAUCAUCUCCUGGCUUCCAGUAUAGACUUCAGCCUUCUAGCACAGACCCAGCCUCCCACCACAGACCCUUCAACCUCCUGAUACAGACUCCCACCAGACACCACAGUGAGCUCCAGGCAUUUGACUGGAUCCUUCGGAUUUCUAGUCCACAGGCACUAUUCCACACCUUAUUCUGUGGCAGCCACUGUAAGCCAGUCUUGUAAAUC